CUAAAUAUAGCCUGUAUAAUGCAAAUCCCCAAAGAGAGCCAGCCGCCGGCCCCAUUCAGUUUUCUCCCUCAAAGGCUGGGGGUGUGCGCCCCGGGCAGGGCGAAGGGUUCCCUGCGGAGACGCCCCAGCCCCGCCUCGUGCCCCUCCCCAGCAGGCUUCGGCGCCUGUGCACAGACGCACACGGCGGGGGAGGAAGAAGGGGUCAACUUCACGCCAGAUGUUCUGGGGGGAGCUGCUUCUUCAGUACGUGCUAGGAUCAAGGGUGCAUUCGCAAACGUUUCAAAAUGCCGUAGAAGAGGGUGUCUGUGCAUCUCCCCUGAUUCCAGCCCACAGGACACUUGCUCUCUCUUUCUUGUGACCCCAACAUGUCAGCUGGCAAGACUCAACAUUCCUGUCUGGGACUGAGCAGCUUGAACCACUUGUAUGAGUCACAGAAAAGGAGAAUCAUACCUCCAUUCCAUCACCCCACUCCAACCCCUCCGCCGUGGCUCCAAUGCUACAGACCACUCCCAACUUCAGUCCCAGAAGAAUGGAAGGAAGGCUGCAACUUAAGAGACUGGGGUUAGAAGUGAUCUUCAGAAAUUGUUUGCCUUGCCUGUGUCUAGAGUUCUUACGGUAUGGGUCCUCCAGGUGGUUUUCAGGCUUUUCUCUUAUGUAACCAUGUUUAUGAGGUGAAGUUAUUUGACGAUGUGCUUGUACUGCUUUCAAAUAAUGAAAACCAGCCAUUGCCCUA